UGUACUACGGCCCAGAGGCCAAAAGUUAAAGACAAGACUGAGUCAGGAUACCUGGGUUCUAGAUCCAGCUCUGCUAAUGUGAUGUAAAAAGAAAAGGAGAAC